rnacentral:misc_RNA from 1 species
CCAAACGUGUCCGCCAGCAAUGGCGCUGACAUUCAACCCUUUGUGCAAACGAUUUUCUGUGCUUCGGUGGCCGGAUGCCUACCCCUCGGGGCUGCCUUCCGUAAGCCCGCCGGCCGUAUAACCAGAUGUGAAAUUUUCCGUCUUCUAAAAUAUAAAAACAAGUUA